rnacentral:lncRNA from 1 species
GUUGCUGGAGUCCAUUUGUUGAGAGUAGUUGAACACGGAUUGUUGUUGAGAAUCCAUUGAUGAUGAAGAACGAGAUGAGGAUGAACUGCUUGCAGAAAUGCCUGAGGGAGCUGGUUUGAGAAAGUGAGUGAGAGUGAAGUUAUGCACAAUGUGAGAGAAGUCUUUAUAUACUAGAACGAACUGCAUGCAAAACGACACAAAAAUCAGAGUUUAGCACAAAAACCAAGUUAGCACGCUUAGAGGGAGAAAUGAUUAUGGCUCAUUAAUGAAUGUCUAA